CAGUUUUCAACAAGCGAAAAAAAUAUAAAAAGGCGGGAAACCAGAAGCGGAUAGUACAGCGGACCCAAGAGCAAAUUGACAAAUAUUGAAGAAAAUCUGAUAAUCAAUAUGUGUUAGAAUAGACUUUAAAUGUUAUUUGUCAUUCAAACCCCUUACAGCUGUGGGAACAAUUGGAAAAAUAUAUACCUUAUUUUUUUAUUCUAUUGUUAUUAAUAAUGGUAAUUGACAGAGUGGAGUUAAAUAUGGUUGGAAAUCAAAGGCGUGACUGCAAAAUUUCACGAUCGCGCAGAAUUGUGGAAAGGGAAAGCAGUUUUAAUUAAAAUAUAGCACACCAUUGCCACUCCCAUAUUUGGUGGCAUAGCAACAAGACAAGUAUAAAAUAUCUUGUAAAUUCACGAUUUGUAUUUGUAUUAAAACAUCUAUCCAAGAUUUAAACGCUAUGAUGGUAAGUUUUACACUUUUAUACCAUUUUCAAGUAUUUAAAUCAAGGAUCAUUGUAAUGCUUUCAAACAUCGACACAACUCACAACAUGAAGUCAAAAACAAUGUUUCCAAACAUUUUCCCCAUUGGGCUAUCCCAAUUAUUAUCUGCAUCGCCCCUGUUGAGGAACCUUGGAAUUUCCAGGGGAGAGGGCACAUUAACCAUGGAAUUUCCAGGGGAUACUAGGGAAGGAGUAAUUCUCACAUGAAAUUUCCAGACGGAGGGGUAUAAAUUUCAAGGGAUGGGAAUUCCAUGCGAAGACAUAUUUUAGAGGGAAAUUUCCGGAAAUAAAUGUCCCAUGAUGGAAAUUCCAUAGGGAGGGGUAAUUUACACAUGGAAAUUCCAUGACGAGGCCCAAAUUUUAUAUGAAAAUUCCAUGGGAAGGCCUAAUUUAAAAUGGAAAUUCCAUGGGCAAAAGUAAUUUUUACAAGGACAUUCCAUGGGAGGGGGUAUAUAUAUUACAUGAAAAUUUGUGGAAAUUCCAUGGGAGUACCGAAGUGAGAAAGCGGUUCCUAGACAGGGGGGUAUGCCCCAUUCAAAGCCCAUUUCAAUACAUUAUAUCAUUAUCAGUCGAUAUUAUUUUUCUUUUGUUAGAAAAUAUAGUGCAAGCAUUUUUGGGCCAUUCCAUAUAAUAUAGGCACUCCCUGUUGAUGGAUCUGGAUAUCCAAUGGGGAAGGGACUCUUUUAAUCUAAAUUUUCUUAGUGGGGAGGUUAGGAAAUUUUUGAAAAAAAUGGGAAAUCCUAGGAAGAAAUCCAAAAAUUCAUGAUAUCCAAAGGGGAAUUAUGCACCAGUCAAUGUAAAUCCCCACCCCACCCAACCAGGGAAAUGCAGGAAUUUGGAUUCUAAAGCAUUGCAAGCACAUUUAGCUGUCAUUCUCGCACCCGAGACAAAGAACAUAGUCCAUUGUCCCUGCAUAUGUCCCUGCAUGGUUUAUAUAUUUCUCUUGCAAGAU